AUCUUUGUGCUCGGGCAAGUGAUUAAUCCAGUGAAGUGUAUACUGAGGAUAAUCGAAUUGCUGGUUGCAAACUAUUACCAAAUGCUUCCAUCACCCUCAGGGGUUGUUGGGGAAUUUCUGAGCCCCUAGGGG
rnacentral:snRNA from 1 species